rnacentral:rRNA from 1 species
UACGGAGGGUGCAAGCGUUAAUCGGAAUUACUGGGCGUAAAGCGCACGCAGGCGGCAUGGCAAGUCCGAUGUAAAAGGCGAAAGCUCAACUUUCGUAAGCAUCGGAAACUGUCAAGCUUGAGUGAAGGAGAGGCAAGUGGAAUUCCUAGUGUAGCGGUGGAAUGCGUAGAUAUUAGGAGGAAUACCGGUGGCGAAGGCGACUUGCUGGACUUCAACUGACGCUGAGGAACGAAAGCGUGGGUAGCAAACAGG